GUGCUCACUUCAGCAGCACAGAUACUAAAAUUGGAACAACACCGAGAAGAUUAACAGGGCCCCACACAAGGAUGACACAGAUUUGUGAAGCUUUCCAUAUUUUU